UGACACUGUAGUAGUCAACCCGUG
rnacentral:miRNA from 1 species